rnacentral:snRNA from 2 species
AAGCGUGCUUUAUUUAGAUAUACUGUCGUUCUAAAAACGAGCCAUAUAGAAUGUUUCAUGUCCUAGCAUGAAGCACAUGAAUCGCCAUGCUCAAUAUACC